rnacentral:rRNA from 1 species
AAGCGGGUGCGGAACACGUACACAACCUUCCUUUUAGUGGAUGAAUAGCCCAGGAAACUUGUGAUUAAUACUCCGUAACAUAUAGAAGUGGCAUCACUUUUAAUAUUAUAGCAGGCAAUGCGCUAUAAGUAUGGGUGUGCGGCUGAUUAGAUAGUUGGCGGGGUAACGGCCCACCAAGUCGACGAUCAGUAACUGGUGUGAGAGCACGACCAGUCACACGGGCACUGAGACACGGGCCCGACUCAAUACGGGAGGCAGCAGUAAGGAAUAUUGGUCAAUGGACGCAAGUCUGAACCAGCCAUGCCGCGUGGAGGAUGAAGGUCCUCUGGAUUGUAAACUUCUUUUAUUUGGGAAGAAACCCAUCUUUUCUAAGAUGGCUGACGGUACCAGAUGAAUAAGCACCGGCUAACUCCGUGCCAGCCGCCGCGG